rnacentral:tRNA from 1 species
ACUUAAAUAGCUUAUACAGAGCAUAAUAUUGAAGAUAUUAAGGAAAUAGACUUAUUUUUAAGUA